AGUCAAUGUACUGCGAGGAAAACCGAAAGCUCCCAGUAUUGUUAUGUAGGUCGCCGAGAUAAGAAAAAAAUUGGUGGGUGAUCGUUCGCGAUUAGAGAUUAUUUAUUUAUGUCAAUCGUGGUUCACAAAUUCGUCAUUCUUUUAAAAUCGUUAACAGUGUUUAGAAGCCCGUAUUCGUUGAUUUGUUACCCAUUGAUCAAUUAAUGGAAUCUACAAAUGACAAGAUGUCGGAGAAAAACUUUUUAUUGAAUCGUUCAACUGAAAGUGAAGCGAUGACAUAGCACUCUUCUAGAGAUGACGCUAGAUCAAAGAGAGGGAAAGAAGUAGAGAAACGAGAUGUUAGAUCGUUGCAACGUCCGUCCGAUUUAUUAGCUCUUGACCUUGUUAAUAGUUAAUAUUUUUGCUCGCAUGUAUUCAAAUGUAUACUCUUGAUGGAUAGAAUAUACAUAUGCAGUGUUACUAUGGGUUUAACGAAGUAAUAACCAUAUAUGGUAGCUUUGUAUAGUCGUGGUGCUAGAAACGUUCAUAAUGACGGUAGUAGAAUUACAAUUUUUUUCUUAGGAGUAAUAUUAUUGUGAGGGGGAGCGAGAGAGGGAGAGAGGGAGAGAGAGAGAGAGAGAGAGAGAGAGAGAGAGAAAUAGUGGAAGGGAGAGAGAGAGAGAGGAAGAGAACAUAAUCAAGAUGCGAGAAGUCAGUUGAUUCCCUGCAAUAUCUACACUUAUCUUCGGCGCUACGUCAAAGCACGUUAAUGCAUUAUUAUGGCAGCUCUUGCUAUCAAGCAAAUAGUUUGCUAUCGGCCUAGGUCUAGUGCGGUUACAAUCAAAAAUGGAGCAAAGAUCUAUGUCAGAUAUCAUAAAGAAGAUGCAGCCUUUGUUAAGGAAGUUUGA